GGCGAACGGGUGAGUAACACGUGAGUAACCUGCCCUUGACUUUGGGAUAACUUCGGGAAACCGGAGCUAAUACCGGAUAAUAUAUUGAACCGUAUGGUUCAAUAGUGAAAGACGGUUUGCUGUCACUUAUAGAUGGAUCCGCGCCGCAUUAGCUAGUUGGUAAGGUAACGGCUUACCAAGGCAACGAUGCGUAGCCGACCUGAGAGGGUGAUCGGCCACACUGGAACUGAGACACGGUCCAG
rnacentral:rRNA from 1 species